UACGUAGGGGGCAAGCGUUGUCCGGAAUCAUUGGGCGUAAAGCGCGCGUAGGCGGCCCGGUAAGUCCGCUCUGAAAGUCCAGGGCUCAACCCUGGGAUGCCGGUGGAUACUGUCGGGCUCGAGUCCGGAAGAGGCGAGUGGAAUUCCUGGUGUAGCGGUGAAAUGCGCAGAUAUCAGGAGGAACACCAAUGGCGAAGGCAGCUCGCUGGGACGUGACUGACGCUGAGACGCGAAAGCGUGGGGAGCAAACAGG
rnacentral:rRNA from 1 species